CCUGGUCCCUGGACGGCCGCCGGCGGCACCUGCCGCGGGAGGAAAGUCCGGGCUCCACAGGGCAGGGUGGUGGGUAACGCCCACCGUUCGCAAGAACAGGGAAAGUGCCACAGAGAACAGACCGCCGGACGGCCCCAAGGGGCGACGGCAAGGGUGAAACGGUGGGGUAAGAGCCCACCGCGCCCCGCGCGAGCGGGGUGGCUCGGCAAACCCCACCCGGAGGAAGACCGAAUAGGAGGAUCGCGCGGCCCGCGCCAGAUCCUCGGGUAGGUCGUUGGCGGCCGUCCGCGAGGGCGGUCCUAGAGAAAUGGCCGUCACCGCCCACGGGCGGCACCAGAACCCGGCUUACGGGGACCAGGCAUC
rnacentral:RNase_P_RNA from 1 species